rnacentral:rRNA from 1 species
AGUGAACGCUGGCGGUAGGCCUAACACAUGCAAGUCGAACGGCAGCACAGUAAGAGCUUGCUCUUACGGGUGGCGAGUGGCGGACGGGUGAGGAAUACAUCGGAAUCUACUUUUUCGUGGGGAAUAACGUGGGAAAACUUCCGCUACUACCGCAUACUACCAACGGGUGAAGUCGGGGGUUCUUGGGCCUUUGCCCGAUUGAUUGAGCCGAUGUCGGAUUAGCUAGUUGGCGGGGUAAAGGCCCACCAAGGCGACGAUCCGUAGCUGGUCUGAGAGGAUGAUCAGCCACACUGGAACUGAGACACGGUCCAGACUCCUACGGGAGGCAGCAGUGGGGAAUAUUGGACAAUGGGCGCAAGCCUGAUCCAGCCAUACCGCGUGGGUGAAGAAGGCCUUCGGGUUGUAAAGCCCUUUUGUUGGGAAAGAAAAGCAGCAGGUUAAUACCCCGCUGUUCUGACGGUACCCAAAGAAUAAGCACCGGCUAACUUCGUG